UCAGUCCAAUUCAAAUUUCUUUUCCCUUUUCUCUUUUAUCUCACUUCUCACUCGGAACUUCCAUCUUCUCUCACUUCCAGAGCAAUCUUUCUCUUAAUCUUUUUCUUUCUUCCUCUUCUUCUUUAUUUUUCUCUUCCUCUUCUUUCUUCUCUCUUUUCUCUAUUUCAGAAUCAAAACAUAAAUCGAAAUAAAAAUAGGAAAAAUGAGGGAUACCGAUCAAAAUUGGGGAAAAUUUGCAGCCACGGUGGUGCAAACAAGGGAGAGGAGGAUGAAUGGAUACUUCGGCGGCGGUGACAAAUUUGUGAGGAACAUGUGGUCAGGAUUCAGAGUUUUCCGGUGACAAGUGUGGCGACAGUCUUCUACCUGUUGGCUUUCAAAAAUGUGUGGAUAAUAAACUUUUGCGACAUGUUGCUUUUCAUAUAUCAGUGAAAAAGUUCAUACAUUUUCUUCAUUUACUUUCAUAUCAGUUUAAAAAAUAUUACUUUUGGUUGUGUUCAAUUUUUCUUCAUUUCAUAUCUUUUAGUAUUCAUAACUUAGUUGUUGAUUAUUCUAUUAGUUUUUCUGGUUUCAGUGAAAGGUGAGAUUGACAUAGUAACUGUUGAAGGUGAACCUAUUAUAAUUUAUACUAGAGGUAUUAAUGAAUUUGGAUUUUUGCUUAAUGUAAUCAAUUGUUUAUUUCAGGGACAGCAAGAAACAGUUAAUAAAGGAAGGUGGUGAUGUGUUCCUGGAAAUAUGUGUUCCCAUUCUAAUCUUUAUGGGUCUAACUAAAGAAGUUGAGAAUGUGCCUUAUGUAGGAUUAUCAUACUAUUCUUUUAUCUAUACCAUACCAGCUAUCAAGAUUUGUCUUGUCGUCUAUGAUCUUUCUAACAACUAAUAUGAUUUAUUAUAUAUUAUAAAUUCAAUUUCCUUUUAUUUAGGUUGUAGAAGUCACUGUAAUAUUUGAGUAUGCCAAGCAUUUCUAGAUCAAAGGCAAUAAAGGAAGAACUAAGGAGAUGUGAAAUACAGGUUGCCAAUGUCGGCGAAGAUGAAAAAUGAAAAUCCAAUUAUUUGUCUCAAUUGUUAAUUAUUCCUCUUCCUCAUGUUGGAAGAGACUCUCCACUAUUGAGAUGUGACGUUGGGUAUUUCUCGUUGCUGAUGAAGAACGUGGUGAUACGUUGUUUUAGAGAGUCGAGUUGAAACUCGUAACGAGUGAACGCGAGCGACUUGACUCGGCGCUUUCAGAUUUGACUGAGUCCUAAGAACGCAAAAGCUUGGUGUGCAUUAAGGGAUACGCAAGUAGUUCUUUAAGUAUUUAGUGGUCCCAAGCCAUUUUGGAUUAUUAUUUAAUAUUGUUGCUUUCUAUUUUUCACUUCAUUUUGUUUCAGGAUCAGUGCUUUAUACUUUCUAAUGUUUGUUGUAACAGGAGGUUCUUAGAGAAGCAACUAAUGAUGGAAGAGAUGGAUAACAUGUUAAACUCAAAUUGGAAAUUAAAGUUAAAGAUGGUGUGGAUUAUAUAAUUAACAAGGUGUUCUUUUGCGUGUUCGGACAACUAGCACCAGUAAUUCUGAGUUGUGUGAAUAUUUGAUUGAAGAAGGAUCAGAGAGAUUGAUGUUGUUGAUCGACUUAUUACUCCUAAAUUAGUUAUAUCUUUUUUACAAAUAAUUAUUUUUGCUCCUUUCUAACUUUCUUUCCCUGAUAUGGAGUCUCUGUAUUUUGCCUGUGUUGACGAUAAUAUGCUGUAUUUUUCAUGUCUAUCAUGUUAGGAAAAUUUGAUGUCUUCUUAAACCUUUUAACUCUAAGGAUCUUAUAUCUUUUAGA